AUUGAACGCUGGCGGCAUGCCUUACACAUGCAAGUCGAACGGCAGCGGGGGCUUCGGUCCGCCGGCGAGUGGCGAACGGGUGAGUAAUGUAUCGGAACGUACCUUUCAGUGGGGGAUAACGUAGCGAAAGUUACGCUAAUACCGCAUAUUCUGUGAGCAGGAAAGCAGGGGAUCGCAAGACCUUGCGCUGAUUGAGCGGCCGAUAUCAGAUUAGCUAGUUGGUGAGGUAAAGGCUCACCAAGGCGACGAUCUGUAGCGGGUCUGAGAGGAUGAUCCGCCACACUGGAACUGAGACACGGUCCAGACUCCUGCGGGAGGCAGCAGUGGGGAAUUUUGGACAAUGGGGGCAACCCUGAUCCAGCCAUGCCGCGUGAGUGAAGAAGGCCUUCGGGUUGUAAAGCUCUUUCGGCCGGGAAGAAAUCGUACAGGUUAAUACCCUGUGCGGAUGACGGUACCGGCAUAAGAAGCACCGGCUAACUACGUGCCAGCCGCCGCCGUAUAC
rnacentral:rRNA from 1 species